AUUGAACGCUGGCGGCAGGCCUAACACAUGCAAGUCGAACGAGUGGCGGACGGGUGAGUAAGGUCUGAGAAACUGCCCGAUGGAGGGGGAUAACGACUGGAAACGGUAGCUAAUACCGCAUACCAUCGGAUGUGCCCUGAUGGGAUUAGCUAGUAGGUGGGGUAACGGCUCACCUAGGCGACGAUCCAUAGCUGGGCUGAGAGGGUGACCAGCCACACUGGAACUGAGACACGGUCCAGACUCCUACGGGAGGCAGCAGUAGGGAAUAUUGCACAAUGGGCGCAAGCCUGAUGCAGCCAUGCCGCGUGAAUGAAGAAGGCCUUCGGGUUGUAAAGUACUUUCAGCGAGGAGGCGUUACUCGCCGAAGAAGCACCGGCUAACUCCGUGCCAGCCGCCGCGGUAAUUC
rnacentral:rRNA from 1 species